UACAGAGGGUGCGAGCGUUGUCCGGAAUCACUGGGCGUAAAGGGCGCGUAGGUGGCGGCCCAAGUCCGUGGUGAAAGCUCGCCGCUUAACGGCGAGUCGGCCACGGAGACUGGGUGGCUCGAGCACUGUAGGGGCAGAUGGAAUUCCGGGUGUAGCGGUGGAAUGCGUAGAGAUCCGGAAGAACACCAGUGGCGAAGGCGGUCUGCUGGGCAGUUGCUGACACUGAUGCGCGACAGCGUGGGGGAGCAAACAGG
rnacentral:rRNA from 1 species